CAGGGUUCAGACAUCUGAAGGAACAAAAUCCAUAUAGAAGAGAAUGCCUCGCCAGUCUCCACUUGUGUUCUCUUUGCCUGCUAUUUUCAGUAUGCAAAUUCAACACAGAGAAGAACACAAGCAUAAUGGCACAGAUAGAGCAUGUUUGUAAUUUCACAACUUCCAAUUGCUGUUCAAUGUAAUCAAUGAUUAUGAUCAUCGCAAUUUCUUUCUAGUCCUCCUAAUGCAACUAUGUACUUUUCCUAGUCCAUAGAUAUGCACAACCUAUUUAGAUGAACAUAGUACAACUGCUGUUAUAUAGGUCAUGCCUCGACUAUGUUAUCCAAAAGUUGAUAUUCAAUCACAUCAUUAGAAGCAAUGUCACGAGGGGAUUCCUCUCCAGAUGGCAUGUCUCGAACACGAUCAAGGAGAAUUGACAUUUCUCUAUGAACAAAACUAAACUGAUCUUUGGAUGCCAUUGAUUCUGUCAAU
rnacentral:lncRNA from 1 species